GCCCGGAUGGUGAAACUGGUAGACACAAGGGACUUAAAAUCCCUCGACGCAAGUCGUGCGGGUUCGAUCCCCGCUCCGGGCA
rnacentral:tRNA from 1 species